AUUGAACGCUGGCGGCAUGCUUUACACAUGCAAGUCGAACGGCAGCGGGGGCUUCGGCCCGCCGGCGAGUGGCGAACGGGUGAGUAAUGCAUCGGAACGUGCCCAGUCGUGGGGGAUAACACAUCGAAAGAUGUGCUAAUACCGCAUACGUCCUGAGGGAGAAAGCGGGGGAUCUUCGGACCUCGCGCGAUUGGAGCGGCCGAUGUCGGAUUAGCUAGUUGGUGGGGUAAAAGCCCACCAAGGCGACGAUCCGUAGCUGGUCUGAGAGGAUGAUCAGCCACACUGGGACUGAGACACGGCCCAGACUCCUACGGGAGGCAGCAGUGGGGAAUAUUGGACAAUGGGCGAAAGCCUGAUCCAGCCAUGCCGCGUGAGUGAUGAAGGCCCUAGGGUUGUAAAGCUCUUUCACCGGGGAAGAUAAUGGCGGUACCCGGAGAAGAAGCCCCGGCUAACUUCGUG
rnacentral:rRNA from 1 species